rnacentral:rRNA from 1 species
AUGGAAACUAACAGCAAAUGUAUCCAUCAGACGAAGCUCGCACGCGCGAUAAGGAAGUUAAUGCCUCAGGUCAAGAGGAUGGAACGGAGAACAGAUCACUCCAGCAGGUCAACCAUUCACCCCGUCCAUAAAGCAAGAAAGAAAUAUCGCACUUCUUCUGGCCCUCCACUUGGGUUUGUUCACACACUGACAGAGACACCGAUGAUCGCUCUCAAGCUCAAGUGCAAGCGCCUUCCGGUAAUAAUCAUCCGUAUACUAUCUCGAUGGCUGAAUUUCCUGCAGAUCUUCAGCAACCGUUGUGGCAAAAACGUGCCUUCUUCUGUUCCCAAAAGGCAAAUGAUGCAUCAAGAAGCAAUAGUUUAA